CCUACGGGAGGCAGCAGUCGAGAAUCAGUCACAAUGGGGGAAACCCUGAUGGUGCGACGCCGCGUGGGGGAAUGAAGGUCUUCGGAUUGUAAACCCCUGUCAUGUGGGAGCAAAUUAAAAAGAUAGUACCACAAGAGGAAGAGACGGCUAACUCUGUGCCAGCCGCAGCGGUAAUAGAGAGGUCUCAAGCGUUGUUCGGAAUCACUGGGCGUAAAGCGUGCGUAGGCUGUUUCGUAAGUCGUGUGUGAAAGGCGCGGGCUCAACGCGCGGACGGCACAUGAUACUGCGAGACUAGAGUAAUGGAGGGAGAACCGGAAUUCUGGGUGUAGCAGUGAAUGAGUAGAUAUCGAGAGGAACACUCGUGGCGAAGGCGGGUUCCUGGACAGUAACUGACGCUGAGGCACGAAGGCCAGGGGAGCGAAAGGGAUUAGAUACCCGUGUAGUC
rnacentral:rRNA from 1 species